rnacentral:rRNA from 1 species
AGUGGCGAACGGGUGAGUAAUAUAUCGGAACGUACCCUGGAGUGGGGGAUAACGUAGCGAAAGUUACGCUAAUACCGCAUACGAUCUAAGGAUGAAAGUGGGGGAUCGCAAGACCUCAUGCUCCUGGAGCGGCCGAUAUCUGAUUGGCUAGUUGGUGGGGUAAAGGCCUACCAAGGCAUCGAUCAGUAGCUGGUCUGAGAGGACGACCAGCCACACUGGAACUGAGACACGGUCCAGACUCCUACGGGAGGCAGCAGUGGGGAAUUUUGGACAAUGGGCGCAAGCCUGAUCCAGCAAUGCCGCGUGAGUGAAGAAGGCCUUCGGGUUGUAAAGCUCUUUUGUCAGGGAAGAAACGGUGAGGGCUAAUAUCCCUUGCUAAUGACGGUACCUGAAGAAUAAGCACCGGCUAACUACGUGCCAGCAGCCGCGGUAAUACGUAGGGUGCAAGCGUUAAUCGGAAUUACUGGGCGUAAAGCGUGCGCAGGCGGUUUUGUAAGUCUGUCGUGAAAUCCCGGGCUCAACCUGGGAAUUGCGAUGGAAACUGCAAGGCUAAAUUCNCGUGUANCAGUGAAAUGCGUGGANAUGUGC